rnacentral:lncRNA from 1 species
UAUAUGACAAAGAAAGAAAGAAAAGAAACAGAGAGCAAAACAAAACAGAGAAGGGAGAAAGAAAGAAACAGAGAGCAAAACGAAACAGAGAAGGAAGGAAGGAAAGAAAAAAAGAAAAGAAAAAGGGAAAUUUGGGGUUUUAAGGUUCAAAGUAAUUUGGUAAGUCAAUUUAAUUCCCUUUUCUCUUAAUUUUGAUAUUUUUUUUGAAAUCCUAGAAUAAAAUACUACUUGAUUUAAGUUGAAAUUUUGGAAGUUAGUAGAUUAUUAAGCAUGGUUCAUGUUGAAUAAAUUGUUAAAUUAGGGAUGUAUUUGAUAGAAAUUUUGAUUGGAAUUGAAUAAAGGAUUGAAUUGUAAACUAAACUAUAAGUUUUGAAUUUUAGGGAUUAAUUUGAAAUAAAUUCGGAAUUAUGAAAACAUGAUAAAAAUUAAAUAGUUAAAUAUGAGUUUAGCAAGAAAUUGGGUAGAAUAAGGGUAUGAAUUGAGAAAGAAAAAUAUAUAGGUUUAGUUAGGGGUUAAAUUGAUUUAAUUUCAAGUUAGAAGUUAGUAAAGAAUGUAAUUGUAAAAUAAAAUAUAAGUUUUGAAUCGAUAGGGAUUAAAUUGAAAGAAUCCCGAAAUUAGGGAUUUAUGGUGAAAUUGAGGAAUUAAAUUGACUUUAUAGUAAGAAUUAAGAGAGAAUAUAGAGUUAGAUUGGGAAAAAUAAAAUUAGUAUUGGUAAGGGAUUAAAUUAGAAUUUGGGUAAAGUUUAGGUAUAAAAGGAAAUAUUUUAAUGAAAUUGUGUAUUAAUGAUUUUUAAUUGUUUAAUUACGUAGCUAAUGUCGUGUACGAGUCAUUGUCCGAGAAAGGAAAGGAGAAAGUGGACAAGGAGUGACUCGAGAGAAAUUACGGUUAGUAUUACUAUAAUUCGAAUUUAAUUAUUAAUCGUUGAAAAUUAAAUUAAUAUACACGAUAAGCAAAUUGAGGUGAGUUUCAUAAUUGAAUUGAAUAAUAUAUAUAUGUAUUGAUAUUGAAUUUAUUGACAGUAAUUAUUGAAUUUUGAAUAAUAUGUUAGUAAAUAAAAAUAAGGAGAAUAUCAAUAUUUAAUUGAAUGAAUUAAAAUAUGAAUUGAAUACAGGAGAUAUUAAAUUGAGAUAUGUGAAUAUGUGAAUUGUGUAUUGAUUGAAAAGUGGUUUGAAUUGAAUCGAAGUAUGAUUAUAUGUGAAUAUCUGAAAUAUGUAUUGGUAUUGAAUUGUAUACUGAUUUGAAAGUGGGAAGUGAAUCUGAGUUGAAUUGCGAUUAAAUCGAAAGUGAAUUUGAAAUAGAAAAAUGUAUUGAAACAAAUGGUGAUUAAAUGGGAAUGAUUUGAAUUGAAAGUAUGAGAAAGUGAUUGAAUUGAAAUGUGAUUCGGAAACCCUAUUAACUAGUCGGGCUGAGUCGGAUAUAGUUGGCAUGCCAUAGGAUUGGAAGAGUUCAGAGAUACUUCGACCUUGAGUCGAUGAGACACUGGGUGUCAUACUAUUACUUCGGAUAGAUUCGAUGAGGUACUGGGUACCAACUUACUUCGGGGUGUCUCCGAUGAGACACUGGGUGUCAACUAUUGCUUCGAACUAUCCGAUGAGGCACUGGGUGCCAUUCUGGUGUGUUUGGUUGGAUCCGUGUAUCCGCCAAGGUCCGAGUCUUGUUAAUAGGGGUAAAUAAUUGAAAUGAGAAAAUUGAAUAAAUGUGAUUGAUUGAGCUAUGGGAAGAAACGAAAAAGUGAAGUUGUGAAUUGAUGUGUGAAUUGGAAAUCGAAAUAAGAGAUUUAAAGAUAUGAGCCCAAAGUUCAUGAUGUGAUAAAGAGUAAAUUUUGUUAUAUGAUAUUAGUGAGUACAAAUUGAAAUAAAAUUUAUAUUGAAUAUAAAUUAAAUGAAAUGAAUUGUAUAUGAAUUGAAAUGAACUAUUGGAAUGAGAUGUAAAGAAAAAUCUCAUGGAAUUGAGAUAGUGAAAUAAGGUAUGAAUACAAUUAAAUACAAGAUUUGAAUUAUAGCUUAUUGUUAUUAAUUAUCAAGUUGAUUUAAUGCAUGAGAUAAUUAAUGAAUAAUUGUAGACAUAAAUAAAAUGUAUAUAAUUUAUCGAUUAAUGUUAUUAAUUCGAAUUAUGGUAAUACCACUGAGUAUUUCCAUACUCAGCGUACGGUUGUUUCCGUGCGCAGGUUAGGUCAAAGUCGGAUUGUUGAAUCAGCAUCCAAAGCCGAUUCUGAGCUAAUUGUGGUGGUGAACAUUUCUUUUAGUUAUGGCAUGUAUAGGAAUUUAGUAAUUUUGUAUAUUUGUAAAUAUGAUUUUACUAUAGAAUGAUGUGUAAGUAUUUGAUGAUGAAUGGUUGUUUAAAUGGUCAAGGAUGAAGUUAAUUAUUGUUAUAAAAGUCUAAGUGAUAAAUUAGGUAUGAAAAUCACUAAAAAUGGUAUAAAAAUAUUUAUGAGUUGUAGUUUAUAUGUGUAGAAUCCCUAUUGAGUCUAUUUUCUGUAGAAAUAAGUGGUAAUAUCAUAUGAAAAUCCUAUAAUGAGAAAAUUUAUUUUUAGUACCAAGGGGUCAGGACAGUCGAGUGAAGAAACAGGGGAGAAUUUAACUAAUAAACUGUAUUAAUUGGUCAAACCAAGAAUUCUGAAAAUUUUUAUGGUAGAAAGAUAUAUGAGUCUAGUUUCAGGAAAAAUUUACGAAAUUAAAUUUGGAGUUCCGUAGCUCGAGUUAUAAUCAAUUUAGUAACUGCUGCGCGAUUGGAC